CUUAUUAGUCUAAUGUAAGAUUAUUCAUAAUUGUAUAUUCAAUCUUAGUAAAAUACACAUAUAAUAUUAUCCUGUCCAAACUUCCAAAUGUUUGGUAAUAAUCAUACAUUAAAAUGUAAUACUUAUAACUGUGAUUAUAUUAAUGUUAAAUUUAUAAAAUUAUAAAUUUUUAAACAGAUGAUAUUAAAAAAAUAUAUAAUGGAACAAAUGAAAAAUUUCCUCAAAAGGAUGGAUACAUAAAUUUCAUAAAAUAUACUUCAGAUGAAUAUUCAAAAUUAGACAGGAGUAAAUGGAACGACGUAAUAAUUAAGUACGAAGAAAGUCUUCAGAAAAUAGUUAACCUUUAUAUGACCGAAACUAUAGAUGAUUGUACACUUAAUGAUUGGUGCAAUAAACAUAUUGAAGUUUUAGUUAAAACUAAAGCACCUGCAGAAAACAUUGAGAUUAUUCAACCUUAACCAGCCUAAGACAAUAAGAAACAUGUUAAAUGUUUAUAAUGAAAUAAAAAAAAUUAUUUAGUUAAUUAUCUUAUAUGUUGACAUUUUUAAUUUAAAAAAAAAAAAAUAAUAUUUAAAAUCUGUGGAAUCCGCAUCUUUUGUAUUCUUAGUAUACUUAAAGACUUAAAAUGCUUUUCACUUAUAUAAUAUUAUUUAUUUAGUAUAAUAUUCACUUAUCUUAUGUAUCUAAAUCCGUUUUAUCGUAUAUUGCUUAUCGAACCUGUGAACUUUAUCCGCAUUUAGAUGGACGUCUAUAUCUGAUAUUCUUAUUCAUAAUACAAAAGGUAUUACUACAAUCACUGGCCAUCAAAAAUAUCAUUUACACUGAAUUUUACUUGCAUUGAAUUUAGUUCAAUGAGUGAGUUUACACUAUACUGCCUAGUUUACCUUUUGUUUAAUUUUUUUAUAUCGUGUACGGAUCGGGAAAAAACAAUGAUUGAUCACGAGCCUGAUCACCAAAAUUACUUUACACAUUCCAAUACCAACCGAUAAACCUUUGCUAUGUAAAUAUAUAACAAUUCGAAAUAAGUAGAUAGGAUUACUAGCAAAACAAUGACUGCUAGUAUGUGGUGAAUACGUAGAUGUGUAAAAUUAAAGCUAUAAGAUCAUAGGUUACAGUUACACUAAUUUUGGUAGAUAUAAAGGUUGGUCUAUAAUAAAACGAUUUUGAAUAAUACACGAUAUAGAAAAAUCACAACAAUACAAGUAUACAAAAAUAUUAAUAAUACACUUUUUUGGCACAACAAUUUAAAAAUUAAUUUGUAUUUACGACUUUGCUAAUUUGAACAACUAAAGAGAAAACAUAUGUAUUCAGAUUUAAAUACCUAAGAUUUAUAAAUUAUACUACAUAUGUAAUUCCACUAUGUAUUGAUUCUAUUGUUUAAUGUUUAUAUUUUUAUUUUUUGAAUAAUUGUAAAGUCACUUUAAUAUUUCUUUCUUUUUGUGUUAUAUUAUUUAUAUUUAUAUUUAAUAUUGUAAUAGCAUGAACUCUCACCUCUAAUACAGCCUAUGGUUUUGGAGGUGAUCCAAUAACAUUUGUUAUUUAAUA